rnacentral:rRNA from 1 species
GAUGAACGCUGGCGGCGUGCCUAAUACAUGCAAGUCGAGCGAAUGGAUUAAGAGCUUGCUCUUAUGAAGUUAGCGGCGGACGGGUGAGUAACACGUGGGUAACCUGCCCAUAAGACUGGGAUAACUCCGGGAAACCGGGGCUAAUACCGGAUAAUAUUUUGAACUGCAUGGUUCAAAAUUGAAAGGCGGCUUCGGCUGUCACUUAUGGAUGGACCCGCGUCGCAUUAGCUAGUUGGUGAGGUAACGGCUCACCAAGGCAACGAUGCGUAGCCGACCUGAGAGGGUGAGCGGCCACACGGGGACUGAGACACGGCCCAGACUCCUACGGGAGGCAGCAGUAGGGAAUCUUCCGCAAUGGACGAAAGUCUGACGGAGCAACGCCGCGUGAGUGAUGAAGGCUUUCGGGUCGUAAAACUCUGUUGUUAGGGAAGAACAAGUGCUAGUUGAAUAAGCUGGCACCUUGACGGUACCUAACCAGAAAGCCACGGCUAACUACGUGCCAGCAGCCGCCGCCG